rnacentral:misc_RNA from 1 species
GUGAAUCAUCGAAUCUUUGAACGCACCUUGCGCCUUUUGGUAUUCCGAAAGGCAUGCCUGUUUGAGUGUCAUGUAGACUCAACUCUCGAGAGGUUUCUUGCGAGUUGGAUUUGGGUGUUGCCAUUUGGCUCGCCUUAAAAGUGUUAGUGGUUUAAGCACUUGAUCGGACGUGAUAAGUUUCGUCCGGCCGUGUGUCGUCGACCGCUCCUAAACCGCCUUGCGGCGCUCUUUGACUCUGACCUCAAAUCAGGUAGGACUACCCGCUGAACUUAAGCAUAUCAAUAAGCGGAGGA